GUCUAUAUUGCAAUUCAAGUUAAUUUUUCUUUAUGAUAGAGGUAAGGGUUAAGGGUAAUGUUUUUCACGUGGAUAUCAAAUUUUUAGCGUCACUUUUUGAAAAAACUAUCCAUUCUUCAUUGAAUUAACUUGGUCUAUAUAUGUUGAGACCUAUUUAUAUAUUCUUAGGUCUUCCAUUUCAAUGAUCUGUCUAUAUUUUUAUGUCACUGUUUGAUUAUUGUAGCUUUAUGGUACAUGUGCUAAGCAAGGUCCAUUUGUGAGGCAGAAUCCAUACAGUAAUUUGAAGAAUGAAAUUUUAGUAUAAAGAAUUAGCUGUUGAGUCACCCCCAUUUAGCCUUGGUGCCAUAUGCAUUUUGGAUACCCAGCCCACCUUGCUCUGUAGUACUUAUAUAAGCCUUUUCCUUUCAAGAUGCCUGAGGUGUACCAUGGAGAAGGGGAGGUGGAGACUUUUGCCUUUUAGGCAGAAAUUGCCCAACUCAUGUCUCUUGUAAUCAAUACCUUCUAUUCCAACAAGGAGAUUUUCCUUCAGGAGUUGAUCUCUAAUGCUUCUGAUGGCUUAGACAAGAUUUGCUAUGAGAGCCUGACAGACCCUUCCACGGUGGACGGUGGUAAAGAACUGAAAAUUGACAUCAUCCCCAACCCUCAGGAUUACAUUCUGACUUUGGUGGACACAGGCAUUGGCAUGACCAAGGCUGAUCUCAUAAAUAAUUUGGGAACCAUUGCUAAGUCUGGUACUAAAGCAUUUAUGGAGGCUUCUCAGUCUGGUGUAGAAAUCUUCAUGAUUGGGCAAUUUGGUGUUGGCUUUUAUUCUGCCUACCUGGUGGCAGAGAAAGUAGCCAUCAAAAAGCACAAUGACAAAGAACUGUAUUCCUGGGCAUCUUCUGCUGGGAGUUCCUUCAUUUACUUGUUGACCAUGGUGAGCCCACUGGCAGGGAUACCAAAGUGAUCCUUCACCUUAAAGAAGGUCAGACAGAGUACUUAGAAGAGAGGUGGGUCAAAGAAGUAGUGAAGAAGUACUCUCAGUUUAUAGGCUGUCUCAUCACCCUUUUUUUGGAGAAGGAACCAGAGAAGGAAAUCAGUGAUGAUGAGGAAGAGAAAGGUGAGAAAGAAGAGGAAGAUAAAGAUGACAAAGAAAAGCCCAAGAUUGAAUCUUGAGGUCAGGAGUUCAAGACCAGCCUGGUCAACAUGGUGAAACCCCAUCUCUACUAAAAAUACAAAAAUUAGCUGGACUUGGUGGCACUUGGGAGGCUACUUGGGAGGCUGAGGCGGGAGAAUUGCUUGAACCUGGGAGGCGGAGGUUGCAGUGAGCCAAGAUCGCCCCACUGUACUGCAGCCUGGGUGACAGAGCAAGACUCUGUCUCAAAAAAAAAACAACAACAAAAAAGAAGAACACGAAGUGGCUUGAGCUUCUCUGGGCUGGCAGAAGACAAGGAGAAUAACUAGAAAUUAGAUGAGGCAUUCUCUAAAAUCUCGUGGCUUGGAAUCCAUGAGGACUCCAUUAACUGGCGACACCUGUCUGAACUGCUAUGGUCUCACACCUCCCAGUCUGGAGAUGAGAUGAUAUCUCUGUCAGAGUAUGUGUCUUGCGUGAAGGAGGCACAGAAGUCCAUCGAUGACAUCAUUGGUGAGUGCAAAGAGCAGGUGGCCAACUCUGCUUUUGUGGAGCAAGUGUGGAAGCAGGGCUUCGAGGUAGUAUAUAUGAGUGAGCCCAUUGAUGAGUACUGUGUGCAGCAGCUCAAGGAAUUUGAUGGGGAGAGCCUGGUCUCAGUUACCAAGAAGGGUCUGGAGCUACCUGAGGAUGAGGAGGAGAAGAAGAAAAUGGAGGAGGACAAGGUAAAGUUUGAGAACUUCUGCAGGCUCGUGAAAGAAAUCUUAGAUAAGAAGGUUGAGAAGGUGACAAUCUCCAGUAGACUUGUGUCUUCACCCUGCCACAUUGUGACCAGUACCUACGGCUAGAUAGCCAAUAUGAAGUGGAUCAUGAAAGCCCGGAUGCUUUGGGACAACUCUAUCAUGGGUUGUAUAAUGGCUAAAAAGCACUUGGAGAUCAACCCCAACCACCCCAUCGUGGAGACACUGCAGCAGAAGGCUGAGGCAGACAAGAACAACAAGGCUGUCGGUGACCUAGUGGUGCUGCUGUUUGAAACCACACUGCUGUCUUCUGGCUUCUCCCUUGAGGAUCCUCAGGCCCAUCCACCUGCAUCUACCGCAUGAUCAAGCUAGGUUAGCUAUUGAUGAAGAUGAGGUGGCAACAGAGGAACUCAGUGUUGCUGUUCCUGAUGAGAUCCACCUCCCUUGGGGGCGAUGAGAAUGUGUCUCACAGGGAAGAAGUAGAUUAA